CAUGAUACUGCAAACCAUAUUUCGCAUAUUACUGAUGUCAACCACAAACCAUAGGCAUCAUUGACUGGGUGGAGAAUUCUAUAGUGGAAAAACAAGCCAAGAAUUACAAGGCGGAGAAUGAUUAUCAAUCUGUAUGGGCUUAUCUUGCUUGAUGGUAUGGGUAACUUCCUUGAAAGUGGCUGUCUGCCUUCAUCCAUCAUGGGCAAAUCAGGAUCAUCCAAUUCAUGUCCAUCAAAGUUUCCACCACCGUUUCCUCCUUCAUGCUUGACCACCUGAAGCUUUUCANCCAAUCUUCCAUUCUAUCUUUCCAGGCCACGCUCCCAUACCCAUAUACAGCAAUGUCUUUC
rnacentral:misc_RNA from 1 species